CCUACGGGACGCAGCAGUGGGGAAUAUUGCACAAUGGGGGAAACCCUGAUGCAGCAACGCCGCGUGGGUGAAGGAGCGUUUCGGCGCGUAAAGCCCUGUCAGCGGGGAAGAAGAAAGACGGUACCCGACCAAGAAGCCCCGGCUAACUACGUGCCCGCAGCCGCGGUAAUACGUAGGGGGCGAGCGUUAUCCGGAAUUACUUGGUGUAAAGGGAGCGUAGACGGCGAGGACAGCCUGAAGUGGAAGCCCGCGGCCCAACCGCGGAACCGCCUUUGGAACUGUUUUGCUGGAGU
rnacentral:rRNA from 1 species